rnacentral:rRNA from 1 species
UGCAAGUCGAACGGAAAGGCCGGGUGCUUGCACCCGGUACUCGAGUGGCGAACGGGUGAGUAACACGUGGGUGAUCUGCCCUGCACUUCGGGAUAAGCCUGGGAAACUGGGUCUAAUACCGGAUAGGACCAUUGGUUGGUACUGGUGGUGGAAAGUUUUUCGGUGCAGGAUGAGCUCGCGGCCUAUCAGCUUGUUGGUGGGGUAAUGGCCUACCAAGGCGGCGACGGGUAGCCGGCCUGAGAGGGUGGACGGCCACAUUGGGACUGAGACACGGCCCAGACUCCUACGGGAGGCAGCAGUGGGGAAUAUUGCACAAUGGGCGCAAGCCUGAUGCAGCGACGCCGCGUGGGGGAUGACGGCCUUCGGGUUGUAAACUCCUUUCAACCAUGACGAAGCUUUUGUGACGGUAGUGGUAGAAGAAGCACCGGCUAACUAC